UAGGGUUUGAUCCUGGCUCAGAUUGAACGCUGGCGGUAUGCUUAACACAUGCAAGUCGAACGGAAACGAUGGAAGCUUGCUUCCAGGCGUCGAGUGGCGGACGGGUGAGUAAUGCUUGGGAAUCUGCCUAAUAGUGGGGGAAAACACGGGGAAACUCGUGCUAAUACCGCAUAAUCUCUACGGAGGAAAGGGGGCCUCUACAUGUAAGCUCUCGCUAAUAGAUGAGCCCAAGUCAGAUUAGCUUGUUGGUGAGGUAAAGCUCACCAAGGCUACGAUCUGUAGCUGGUCUGAGAGGACGAUCAGCCACACUGGGACUGAGACACGGCCCAGACUCCUACGGGAGGCAGCAGUGGGGAAUAUUGCACAAUGGGCGCAAGCCUGAUGCAGCAAUACCGCGUGUGUGAAGAAGGCCUUAGGGUUGUAAAGCACUUUCAAUAGAGAAGAAAAGCUUAGAGUUAAUAACUCUAAGCGUUGACGUAACCUAUAGAAGAAGCACCGGCUAAAUCCGUGCCAGCAGCCGCGGUAAUACGGAUGGUGCGAGCGUUAAUCGGAAUUACUGGGCGUAAAGCGCGCGUAGGCUGUUUUAUAAGUCGGAUGUGAAAUCCCCGGGCUCAACCUGGGAACUGCAUCCGAAACUAUUUAACUA
rnacentral:rRNA from 1 species